GAGAGAGAGAGAGAGAGAGAGAGAGAGAGAGACAAUAAACCUUCACAGCUGGUGGAAACUGCUUAAACGUAGUACAUAAUAGCGUGUGUGUGUGUGCGUGUGUGUGUGUGUGUGUGUGUGUGUGCCAGCGAGCAAAACAAGAAAGUGGAGUGGAAAGAGAUGAAAAGAUUAGAAAAGCGAGGGGCGAGAGAGGAGAAAAACAGAAAGGAAAGAUAUGGAGAAAAACAGAAAAAAAGGGGAAUAGGAAAAGAAAGAAAGGAAAAUAAAUAAAGGAAAAUGUUUGAGGACUAUAGAAGGGGAGAGAAAAGUAGAGAAAAGUGAAAGAAGUGAAUACGAAAAGGAACAAAGAAAUGGAGAUAGAAAUGAAAGGAAUGAAUAAGAGAAAGGAACAAAGGAAUGGAGGAAAUGGAAACAAAACAGAGAAGUGAAUAAGAAAAGGAACAAAGAAAAUAAGAAAGAAAUUUGCCUCUGGAGAGAAAACUAUAAAAGGAGAAAGGAAAGAAGAGGAGGAAAAAGGGAAACGCGAAUGAGAAAGAGAAAAAGGAAACAGGACAAACUUAUGAUACGAUGAAGAUUGAAAUGACGAAACGAAGUGAAGGAAAAGAAACUUGACGAAUGAGAAAGAGAAAAGGAAAACAGGACAAACUUAUGAUACGAUGAAGAAUGAAAUGACGAAACGAAAAAGAGAAAGAGAAAAAGGACAAACUUAUGAUACGGUGAAGAACAGAAAUGACGAAACGAAGUGAAGAAAAAGAAACUUGACAAUAAAUAAACAAAAUAUGAAGGACAAAAAAAGUAACUUGAGAAUGAGUGGCAAAAACGAAGUGAAAAAAAAGUAAAAUAAACUUGAGGAUAUAAAUAAGAAAACGAGGCGAAGGAAAGAAAAAAAAAACUUGCCUUAUCAAUAUGAGUGUUUCCUUACGUGAACUUCUUGUGUGGAAAACGGAAAAAAAACUUCCUUAUCAAAACAAAACAAGGAAAAACAAUAUAAAGAAACUUAACGAUAAACAAACAAACUAACAAACAAAACGAAACACUCUUGCCACGCACACCUCACUCGUUAAAUUCUGAAACUAAAACUAAAAAAAAAAAAACGUAAAGAAAAACAGUAAACAAACAGAAGAGUGAGUGUGUGUGUGCGUGCGUGUGUGUGUGUGUGUGUGUGUGUGUGUGUGUGUGUGUGUGUGUGUGUGUGUGUGUUCUUUCUGUGAGUGUGUGUGAAUUAAGCGAGCCAGAUGGAAACAUUAUAUUUGUGUUCGUUCGUUCGUGUGUGUGCGUGUGUGUGUGUUCGUUGGUUUUAAGUUUCUGGACAAGGAGAAAAAAGAGGAGGAGGAGGAGGAGGAGGAAAGGAAGAGGAAGGAAGGAGGAAAGAAGGAAAGAAGAAGAAAAAUGUGGGAUAAGUUUAUCGAUAAUUGGAGGAGGAGGAGGGAAGGAAGAGGAAUUAGGAGAAGGAGAGAGAAGGAAGAGGGAAGAAAAGAAGAAGGGAAGGAAGAACGUGUGUGUGAUAAAUUUUUCGAUAAGUGGAGAAGGAGGAGGAGGAGGAGAAAAAGGAAGGAAACAUGGAAAGAGAGGAGGAAAGGAAGGAAAGAAAAAAACAAACUUGAUAAAAGACUUCCUUGACUGAUGGAAGAAAAGGAAAAAAAAUGGAGGAGAAGGAGAGGAGAAAAGGAAGAAGAGAAGAGAGACUGAAGGAAGGAAGGAAGGGAAAGAAGGGUGUGAUAAUAUAUAAAAAAGAAAAGAAAAAGAAAGAAGAGAGAGAAGAAGAGAAAGAAGGAAAGGAGAGGAAGAAGAUGAGUGAUAAAUACCUAUAGUUAUUUUGACUUGUAUUGUAAUAAUUAUGAGAGAGAGAGAGAGAGAGAGAGAGAGAGAGAGAGAGAGAGAGCAUGUACGUGUGUGUGUAUGUAUGUCAAUCUCUCUGUGUGUGUAUGUAUGUAUGUGUGUGUGUACGUGUGUUAAAUAUACUCUCACUUAUAA